UCGCUGCCCCACGACUCCGGUGUACCUCCCUCUCCUCCUCUGGAGGAGAGGGUUGGGGAGAGGAGGCCGCACGCGCUGAUGCCGACUCAAUCCAUGGGGUCCUCCAGGAUACGAGCCCC
rnacentral:rRNA from 1 species